CCUACGGGUGGCAGCAGUGGGGGAUAUUGCACAAUGGGGGGAACCCUGAUGCAGCGACGCCGCGUGGGUGAAGGAGUGCUUCGGCAUGUAAAGCCCUAUCGGCAGGGACGAAGCAAGACGGUACCUGACUAAGAAGCCCCGGCUAAAUACGUGCCAGGAGCCGCGGUAAAACGUAGGGGGCGAGCGUUAUCCGGAUUCACGGGGGGUAAAGGGAGCGUAGACGGGCGUGCAAGCCAGGGGUGAAAGCCCGGGGCCCAACCCCGGGACGGCCCUUGGGACUGGAUGGCUGGAGUGCGGGGGGGGCAGGCGGAAUUCCUGGUGUAGCGGUGAAAUGCGUAGAUAUCAGGAGGAACACCGGCGGCGAAGGCGGCCUGCUGGACCGCGACUGACGUUGAGGCUCGAAAGCGUGGGGAGCGAACAGGAUUAGAUACCCUUGUAGUC
rnacentral:rRNA from 1 species